AUAUAUGAUGUUGUUCAAAUGUCUGAAAUGGCCUGAGCGUGUGAGGAACAGAAGAA
rnacentral:snoRNA from 1 species